rnacentral:tRNA from 1 species
AAAGCUUUAAGUUAAAAAAAACUAAUAACCUUCAAAGUUAUAAAUAUAUAAAUUUUAUAAGCUUUA